GAGUCGAGCAUUCUAAUGAGGUGU
rnacentral:siRNA from 1 species